rnacentral:lncRNA from 1 species
GUCGUUAAGUAUGUUCAAGAAUUCAUAUUUUUCGUACAUCCAGACAUUUAAGAAUAGAAUCCUCUAUUUAAUUUAGUACAAACAACUAGUACAUUAAUUAAUCGAAACUGUAUCUUUAAUCUAAAAAAUUCAAACAAAACUAAAGUACAUUUUACGAAGCCCUGGAUCCUUUCUAAAACGAAGCUUUGUAUCUGACUAUUUCUGUAUGGAAUCAUGAGCAAAUGAUUCGCAAACUACACUUGACAUUUUUCAAUCGAAAUUGUAUAAAUAUAAAAAGAAGAUGUGGUAUGAUUGCCAAUGAGACAGUUCACCACAAGAACCAAAUGACAAAGAAAUUAACAACUCUAGGUCACCGCACGGCCUUCAACAAUGAACAAAGCCCAUAUCGCACAGUCAGCUUUAAAAGGCCCCAAGAUGACCAUGUAAAACAAUUUAAACGAGAAAAACUAACGGCCUUAUUCAUAUAAAAAAUGAACGAUAAACAAAAUGUAACACAUAUACCAACGAAACCACUGAACUACAGGCUCCUAACUUGGGACAGGCACAUACAUACAUAAUGUGGCGGUGUGAAGUUCAUAGGGAAAAAGUUUUAAAUUGAAAUUAGCAAAUAAGUAUCUAAUGUAAACUUUUUUUUUUUUUUUUU